rnacentral:misc_RNA from 1 species
UUUCCGUAGGUGAACCUGCGGAAGGAUCAUCAACAAAACAAUUCAAAAAUUCAAAACAAAAAAAACACCAAUUUCAUUCCAAAAUUAUAUUGGAAUGUUUUUUUAAUGGGGAUGUGGAGAUUUCUAAUUAGAUUUUUUUAAUUAGAUUCUUCUCAUGCCCCAUCAUUUAAAACUAAACUCCUAAAAUUAAAUUAAAAAAUUAUUCUAAAAAAAUUUUAAAAUAUAAAAAUAGAGACAACUUUUAACAAUGGAUCUCUUGGCUCUC